rnacentral:lncRNA from 1 species
UUUGUUUGUAAGUUCGGGUUAACCAGCCUUGAUACAACACCAGAACCCUGCACACAACCCUGAGGCAUCAGUUUUAAUGAGGGAUUACCUGAUAACUCUAUAAAGCUGUCCUGUUCACUUGAAGCCACAUUAGCCCAUGGUGCUACUAAAAUCUGCCUUAAAUAGACAUUUAGUUCAUUUCUUCCUAAUUCUAAUCCCAGCAAUCUCUUCCUCACAUAGUUCCCAGCACAUUUACUGCCAAUGAACUCCAGCAAGUUGCCACAUGGCAAGCCAGAAUCUGUUUGCCAUAUGAACGUGACCCUGGUCACCAGCUAAUGGGUGCCUGGCCUCCGUCCUGCCCACUGGCAUGAGCUUUGUUCCACCUUCACUUUACCUAAACAAAUGCAAGCAAACUGAACUUCCUUUGUACCGUGGACCUCAGCAGUGUUCGGCCUUCCCUCGGUGCAAACGCGAGCAAUCGAACAAACACCGUUACGAAGACAUGUAAAGGGUCUCUUCAGUGGUGCCGUAAAUCCAAGUUACGAGGAUAGAGACGCUCCCUCCUUCUGGCCUCACGCACCUGCAGGCACCUUCCUGACAGUGGCAGGAGGGAGAUACAGCAUGUGGGACAUGUGGCCUUAUGUGAACUCGGCAUGAAUCAGCCUCACAAAGCUCACCUCCAACCACCAGCCCACUUGCAAAGUCUCUGCAGGAUCAAAUCUCUAAAGGAAAUGCUGUGGGUGAGCCUAAGCCUGGAGCCUCCCAAAGAGAAAAGCCUGUGUCUCUUCUGUCUCCAGCAAGGACAGUAGAACAGGGGUUCCUGAAGGUCUGCUUGGAGCCCAGCACUGCGUCUUCUAUCACAGGGAUCCUUGUUGCUAUCAAGGGCCAGCAUGGCCCUGCUCAGAUUCCACUUGUAAAGUGUAAACUACAGAAUCUCAGGUUUACAAGAAACUCUAAUGACCAUCCAGGUCCACAGCUGCUCACAGAGGCCCUUAAAACCUCCACCAGGACAUUGCUUGAAUACCUCCAGGGAUGGGGAACUCAGUACCUACAGAGGCCUCACAUUCCACUCCAGAUGCACCUGAAGAGAGGGGAAGGGGAAAUAAGUGAAGGGGUCAGGGAGGCUGGUACAAAGGCCGAUUUUGCCAGUUUCUCAGUUGAGCCUAAGACAGGGCCAGACUCCAGCCACCCAGCUGCCACUACUGCUCCUGCCCAAGAACUCCGGUUCUCUAGAAAACUGAGAGCCCCUCUGGGAGGCCAGGCUUGGCAGGAAGAUGUGGAAGCAGGCUGAGCCACAAACGAACUGGUUCCAUACCAUUAGGCAACAGGAAAGAAAAAGGGUGGCCCGCCCCGGGCCGGGCGCAGCAGCAGCGGCAGUCAUGGAGAUCAAAACACCCAGAUAAUGAGCCGAAUUCUUCUCCCAGAGACACCAGCUAACGAAGGGAGCACAGGAAGCCCCAUGUCACGGGCCCAAAGUGUUUAUACAAGUGUUAAAAAUACAUUUCAAAAGAAAGCAGGGAAGCCCAAGGAAAACCCUCUGCCGCCCUUGGAAAACGGUUUUUGCAAACCACGUUAAUUUGUUUUCCAAAAGGUGUUUGAAGUCUCCCUGUGUACCCCCUGGGCAACUUUAAUUCCACCUCCUAAUCCCCUAUUAAACCUGAUGCUCACUAACACAGCCCACUUAGGGGAUUAUGCUUUUUAUUCUUCAUUAUACAGAUACAUAUUUG